GGGGGGGUGGUGGUGCGUGGGUGAGCCCGCCGCGGUGGUCACGGGUGGGUGAAGCGGCAGCAGGACACGGCUCCGCAAAGGGAUGAGCAACCCGCGGGAACACGCGGCGGGGAGGGAACCCCGGUGGAUGGGGGGCGGGGUGCAUGUGUGAGCCCACCGCGGUGGUCACGAGUGGGUGAAGCGGCAGCAGGACACGACCCCGCAAAGGGCUGUGCAACCUGCGGCAACACGCAGUGUGGGGGCAGGAACACGUGGGAUGGGGGGGGGCGGUGUGUGGGUGAACCCGCCGCGGUGGUCACGGGUGGGUGAAGCGGCAGAACAUAGGCCCGCAAAGGGCUGGGGGGGGCUUAGCGCUCCCCCUGCCGCACUCCAUAUCCCAGGGCUUGCAGCCCCAUGUAUGGGAAGCCCCCGUGAUUUCCCACUCGGGAUGCGCUGGCUCCACAAGCUCCCAGCACCAAAUGGACUUUUUUAUUGCCUCUGUUGUUUUAGCCAUAAGAUAUUUGGUUUUAUUCUGCUGCUGACUCACCCCACGUGGUGCACAAAGAUGCUCCUGGACACGCGGCUUUGCUGGGCUGCUUUUCUUCCCCUUCCCGUUGUUCUUUCCCUCCAAACACGCGUCAGAAAGCGAGGAAGAGGCGCCAGGUCACCUUAUUGCACCUUUCUGGAAUUAAAAGGGGCCUGAAAGAAAGAUGGGACAGACUUUUGAGCAGGGCCUGUUGUGAUAGGACAAGGGGUGAUGGGUUUAAACUAAAGGAGGGAGAUCCAGGCUGGACAUGAGGAAGGAAUUGUUGUUCCUGAGGGUGGUGAGAGCCUGUCCCAGGUUGGCCAGAGAGGUGGUAGAUGAACCAUCCCUGGAGACAUCCCAGGCCAGGCUGGACGGGGCUCUGAGCAACCUGAGCUGGUGAAGAUGUCCCUGCUCAUGGCAGGGGGGGCACUGGGGGAGCUGGGAACGUCCCUUCCCACCCAAACUACUCUAUGCUUCUGUUCUAAAUUAUCAACAUCCUAUGGAGUAUGGUCUGUGGAGCUAGAAUAUCCGUUUAUCACUAUAUGCAAAGGUGAAAAAGCAAUUACCUCGAUGACCCCUCUGCAGUUUCUAUAUUGAGGUCUUGAUCUCUUUUACCUUAAAAGUCAAACAAAUAAACAACAAAAAAUCCCUCAACAACAAAAACACACAUUCAACCCUUCAGCAAUUACAACAACAAAAUUUUAGAUCCAGCUUAAAUGCCUAAGGUGAAAUUCUACAUCCAACUUAAACACCCAAGAUAAGGAUGUAAUACCCGAUGUUUUGGAAUUGAAUCAAGGCUCUUCCAUCUCAUCCAGAUGACAGCCCACUUAAAAUCUUCAUUUUGGGUACUGGAAACAGCACGGAAAGCUUUAUCAGUUUCCACACAGCACAGAUACCUUUCCAAAGUCAGCAUCUUACAUCGGUGUGUUGCUUUUAUCUACCAAAACCAUCAUCUCCUUAAAAGCAUGAAUAGAAAUCUGCACGGCGUUAAUAGCGACAAAACCUCGCUCUGCAUUUUGAACACAAACUUUCCCAAUGGCUCAGUCCCGAUCGAUCCUGCUUCAGCAUCACAAGGAAAAUAAAUCACUUUUCUCUUUAUUUAACCAUUUUACCCACUGCUAUUGUUGGUUAUUUGUCACUGGCAGGUCUCUUUUUUCAGCUGCUGUCCCACGACCAGACUUAUUCCUGCAGGAAAUGAAUCAGCUAAGCCUCAUCACCAAAUGCUUUUAUCAUUUGUAAAAUGUCUGUAGUGCCAAGAAAACUCUGCCAGACCAUCAGCUACUGUGACGUUUUCUCAUUCUUUCUCCUAUGCCUUCGCAUUCAGCCGUUGCCUCUUGGCCUUGUGAAACUCUUGGGAUGCGUCUUCCUUUUGUUCGUGCACCGUGAGGGGGGUCCUGCUCUUUGCUUCUGGCUCCAAAGAACGACAGUAGCGGUGAGAACAGCAAGAAGAAAGUGCAUGGAAAGAAUUCCUGGCUGCUUCAGCCAAAAGAAGGUGACGAUCAUCCAGGGAUUGGCGUGAUGGGCAUCGUAUCGAAGCAGUGUGUGGCUCGGUGAUGACCUUUCCAUACCCAUAGUGGCUUGGCGGGGAUAAAAAGGCUCCCACCCAGACGUGCUUGGAAAAUAACACUUCAUUACAGCCAAUAAUUUAAUGGAGAAAUUCCUAGUUUUGAUGAAUUUUUCACUGGCCGAAUCACAAGCUCUUCACAGGUGGGUGCUGCGUUGGUUUCUUUGCACCCAACGUAGUGAAUCAGAGCGGAGCCACGAGAUGCGGAGGUAGAAAGGAUGUAAGAGGAGUUAGUCUUUCUUAGGAGUAAAAAGCUAAAGUCAGUACGUUAUAUAAAUGAAUAUGCCAAAAUAUUUAACACUCUGGAGUCUGCUGGUGAUCUUGGGGAAGGACUAGACAGGUUUUUCAGCAGCAACAUUGGAUUUGAGAGGUUUCCACGGGCGUGCAUCCAGCAAUGAGACCCUUUCAAUGCUCUUUCCACGUGAGCAAAACAUCUCAGAGCGCGGUCACAAUUCUUCUUGGAGACUAAAGUCAGAAGCUUUUUGCAAAACAAAUGUCUUUAAUGCUUCUUUUUGGCUUCGUGGGGCGAAAACAAUGGCACAAUGAGAAGAGUUGAAGAUGUUCUUGUUAAGGAUCAUUCAUUUGCACAAGCCAGAGAUUGAUUUUUUUUUGCUUUUGGUCAGCUCUUCAGCAUCAGGGAGUGAUUAUUGCCAUUCUGCAAAUUUCUCAUUCUACAUUUAGAAACUUGAGAGUGUUUUCCACACCCUCCAUUCUUCCUGCCUGGUUUUUCCUCUAUUUUUCAUUCCUUUUCUCCAAUGAGGGAGUAGGAUUAGCAGGAGGGGAGAGGGAGGAAUUGUUCUCUUCAUUUUCUUUUAAACUUAUAAAACGGUUUUUUCUUCUCAAUUAUAAAACACAGAACCCACGCAGCAGAAUUUCAUGAGAUUGGUGUUAGUUUCCUUCUUGGCUCCUUCUGCAUCAUUUGUUUCUGAGAUGAUGUGGAGGAGGGAUAGAGAUGGGGCUGGAGAAUGAACCGGGAGAGAGAAGCUACAGCAAACUCAGGGUGCACUGAGCGAUAGUUCUGGGCGGCUCCACGUGUAAUAUGGGGGUGCAGACAUCUGUGGUCCCCAAAAAGUCCCGCUCUGCGGUGAAAAAACAUCCUUGUAUCACCCUGUGCGAUCUCUUUUUUGUCAUCAACCCCUCACGCCACCAAUUAUUAUCUAUUUAGCGCAUACGCGGCACAGUUUCUACUCAGGAUAUUUUUAUGUGAGCAUCAAACCGGGGUGAAAACAGGCCUUGGUGUCUUUGUUUCGCGGCCAUUCCUUACCCCACGUAGUUUCUCCUCCUCUCUUCAGCCUUUCAAAUGAGCAGGCUUUAUAGAACCAAUGAAUUCUUCAUCUCCCUCGACAGGUUUACAGAAGAGGUUAAUCUCCGUCAGGUUAUGAAAUCAGCUCACAUGCUUCAGCAGCAUUACCCGCUCUUGAUGUCCCCCUUCGGACCCCAUUGAGCUCCCUUUGUUGGAGGUAACCCCUUCUCCUGCUUUUUCUAAGCUGAUUUCUUAGGCUACAUCAUUCAAGCAUCCAUCCUCGUGGUAUUUAGAUGUAGUAAAAAUGACUGGGGGGGUAUGUGUGUGGGGGAAAUAAAUAGCAGCCAGCGAGCCAACUAAACUGUCUGACUAUUAAUGGUGCUGUUAGUUGCAAAUUUACUUUACCACAAAGCCCCCAGCAUGUAAUCCUGAGAUGAAUGCCUUUGAUUGUGAGGGGAAUAUUUACAGCUGACCCUGCCAGCAGUCUGCAAACCUGCAGCGGGCCUCCUGUCCCACAUUAAAUCCGCUGGCAUCUGUCCCCGGGUUCUUAUCGAGCACAUGCUCCGGCGGCGCGGUGUUUGGGCUGGCGGAUACGCCGGGCCUUGAAGAAUAAAUCCCCGCAUUCCUGCGAAACGCUAAUUCUCGUGAAGGUUGUCACGCCGGGAGGAACGUUACAGUUCGUACCUGGCUCCGGGCAUCGCCGGAGGUUUCCAGAAUGCUUUGAUCCCCACCGGUUGCCCCUCUUCCCACGGCAGGUCCUGCUGCCAGGCCACCCGUCGCCAAGGCCAAACUUCUUCUUGGCCACUUUUUUGUUGUGUUGUUUUCCCAUGAGUGGCACAGUGAUUUUUAUGAUGAUUUUUUUAUCUCUUUUCACCUCACAUUAGUCCCCAGGUUGCUCUGAUUGUUGUUCAGGCUCCAUCUCCGGCCCCAGCGGUGCAGGAGCACAGGGUGAAAGCUCAAUGUGUCUCAGCAAAUAUUCCCCGUGGCUGACGGGACAAGCUUGAAUUCAGCAACUUGUCAUUCCCCGCACGUCCCGUGGUCCGUGAGGUGGAUCCAGAUCGCUUGGCCUCUUUGUGUCAGACACAAGAGCCGGUGGUGGGUGCUUGUCCUGCUCCAAGCACCCUCCAGACAAGGACAUCUGUAGAGAAAAAGUGUGACAAACAGUUUGGGGCUCAGGAAUAAGCAGCACAAGAUAACGCUGUGUAUCAUCAAGCUUUCGACCUCAGGAGGUGAUAGAAAUCUUUGCUGUGCUUGUGAUGAGCCUUUCCCGGGAGGAUGCUGCCAGCAGGAGCUUCCAGAGGACAAAGCGGAGGAGCUGUUCAGGUCUGGAUCUUUGCUUUUGAGUGAGGAGUGGCACCAAGGGAG